rnacentral:misc_RNA from 1 species
AAGUCGUAACAAGGUUUCCGUAGGUGAACCUGCGGAAGGAUCAUUACUGAAUAAACUUGAUGGAUUGUUGCUGGCUCUCUUGGGAGUAUUGUGCACAUUCAUCACUUUUAUCUUUCCACCUGUGCACCCUUUGUAGUUCUGGAAUAUCUUUAUAGCGUUUGACGCUGUGCUUUGAAAGAUUGCUGUGCUUCAAAAGCCAGCUUUCCUUUACAUUUUCCAGAUCUAUGUUUUACAUCUACACCAUGUAUGUUUAAAGAAUGUCAAAUUUAGGCCUUACAAGUCUAUAUAAACCAUAUACAACUUUCAGCAACGGAUCUCUUGGUUCUC